CAAAUUCCCACAUGGCAUCUGGGAAUCAAAGAAUCUUUACCCUAUAAAAACAAAAUCAGGGCCAUAGCGCCAGAGACACAGAGAGAGAGUGGAGACCCACAGACCACGGCCGGCACUGCAGGUAGUGGUGGCUUCAGAAGUUGGUGGCUUUUGCACUUCCUGGGAGCCCUGAAGGAAAAGCCCAGACUCGGUGUCCGAAAAGCCCUUUGCUGCUCACUGUGUGGCUACAGGUAGCUCUGGGGAGCCCAGUGGGGGCGGGUGGGCACAGGUUGGGCAGAUGAGGAGGAGAAGCAGAGGGAGGCCCAGCAUUGCCCAGUCCGGACUUUGUCCCACGGGGAGGGCUCAGGCUGGGAUUUUGGGGUGUAAGGACUCUAGCCACCCCGAGGACCAUGGGGGUGUCACAUGGACAUCUGCAUUGGGGGCCUGGCUAGGGAGCCCACAGAGUCCAGGAAAGCCCAUGGUUAGAUGGUAAUUCUGGACCAAGGAGCCCAUUGCUCUUGGGGUUCAGCUCAGGGCCUUUGCAUCUGCCAUUGCCUCUGCCGGGCAAAACUCUUCCCUGCUUAGCACAUGGAUGCAAAACCUCGCUGGCCUCUCAGCCUCUUGCUUCUUUUUUUUCCUGUUGCUCCUGUCACUUAUUUCUGUUUCUUAUCUGUUUCUUCCAACUAAUAUACAAGGGAUCUUGAAUGUCGUUUCACUGCCACCGCCCCAGGGCCUGAAAAGAAACUAUCACGCAAAGGAAAUAAAUAGAUGCGUGAAUCAUCAAUGAGCGGACAACAACCUGGGGCUGCUGAGUACCGUCCGUCGGGGUGUGGACUGCACAACUCUGGAGGUCACCAUUCUGAAGGACGGUGCUCCAAGAGCAGGCCACCGUGUAUGGCCCCACUGCACACAGCAGUCCUGGGCUCCUCUGUAACCCCACCAUGCUUGCCCCCUGCACGGCUGUGCUGGCUCUGCUUUCUACUUCCAGACUUGUCCCCCCCCCCCCCCCCCUCCAUUUGCACUGAGUUUUCCACUUCUGAUGCCCAAGAGUGAGUCCAGUCCAUCUGGCUGUCUGCUUUAGGCUGGGUCACGGGGGCUCUGGUCAGCUUGCAAUGGUGGCAGCCAUGUGACCGCCUUUCACCUGCCUGUUUCUGGCUGGGGAGGGACGGCAAGGUUGCCUGUGGUGGCUGCCCACCUACUUCCUUCCUGGGCCCCUGCAGACCCUGAGAAAUGCUCUCAUUUCACUCCCACACCUCCCCAAGAAGGUGGCACCGAUUAUACCCACUUCACAGGUGAACUGUCUGAAGUUGUCAGGGUGACUGAGUUCAAAUGUGACUUCUCGCUCUCUGCUCGUGUAACCCUAGGCAGACUGCGUAAUCUCGCCGAGCCUCAGUUUCCUCAUCUGUAAAAUGCACAUAACAAUAAUCCCUCUUUUGAAAGAGGCGUGUGGAUCAAGUGAGGCGAUACAGGUAGCAACGGCUGUCGGCUGUCGGUGCAACGUCUGUGAGCACAUGCUCCUCUUCUCUGGCCCAGAAGUGCUGGUGCCUGGUGUGCAGAGAGCUGGGGUGUGGGCGCAUGCUGUGCACCCCUAGUUUGUGUCCCUGGGGCUCAGCUAUCAUGUGAGCAGAGAGGGAGGAAAGAAAGCAGCCACGCCUGUGUUCCAAGCAAGUGUUCUUGUAAGUCUGCAGCCAACUGCCAAAGCCCUGUGGCCACCUGAUCACCCUGAGCCAUGGGGUUCUAAGAUGAGCCCCACCCUCAGAGUGGGGACUCGGGGUGGGGGGACAGCUGCCAUCACACAGUGGUAGCAGAGUUCGGGGGACGAUCCCACCCCUGAUUUCGAGUCAGGCGUUGCUCCAGACGAACCCUACUUGCUCUUGGAGAGUUCAUUCAUGCGUUCACAACAUACACGGCACUGUUUUGGAAUCUUUUCACAGCAAGGAACAAAUCAGAACAAAAUCUGUACCCACAUCUUAGUGGAGGAAGAGAGACAAUAAAAAAUUAAACAUGUAAGUACACAUUAUGAGUGGUGGUAAACACAGAAAAUGGGGAUUGUUCCUGACAGGGUGAAGGGAAGGUAUCAAUCAUGAAAUUAUAUUUGAGCAGAGCCCCAGAGGAGGUGAAAGGGGACAUAGAUAUUGGGAGACAAGCUUCCUAAGCAGAUGGAUCAGCAAGUGCAAAGGCCCUGGUGUGGGCAUUAUGCUAUAAGACAGAAUUGAGGACACAGCUGAUGUUUCUUAGUGUAGCAUUCCAGAUGGAGUAUAGGAUGCCUGGUUAUGCUGGAAUCACAGUUAAACAAUGGCCAAUUCUAAUAUAAGGAUGUCCCAUACAAUUUGGGACAUAUUUAUACUAAAAAAAUUUAUUCAUUGUUUAAUUGAAAUUAAAAUUUAACUGUGUUAUAUUUUUAUUUGCUAUAUCUGGUGAAUCUCUUCAGUGGUCAGUCAUCGUGUAAGGCACAGAAAUAAAGAUCUUGGUGCUUCUACAAGGGGCCCUGGCUGGAAGACACAGGGAGUCAGCACAGGGGGGCCUGGCAGUGGAUGCUGGUCUUGCUGUUUGGGACCGUGGGCCUUGGCUGAGCCCUCCGCCUUAUGAGCCUUCCUAACUCAGCUGGAGGUGGGAGACGCAGUAUCUGAUUCCGGGGGCAGUAGGAAGAUCAGAGAUGAGCUUCAGGCAGCACGCCUUUAAUCCCAGCUCCUUGGGAGGCUGAGACAAGGUCACAAGUUUGAGUUCAGCCUGGGCAUCAUGGAGAGGCCUGGUCUCCAAAUGAAAAAUAAAAAGUUCUGAGGACAUAGCUCAGCGGGCCCAACCCCCAAUACUGCCAGAAACCCUAAAACAACAACAACAACAACAAUAACAAAACUGGAGUGAAACCGCAAACCUUUCUGCCCUGUCGCCUUGUCAUUGACACUAACUCCUAUCAAGCUUCGUAUUGUGUAUUGUGUACGAGAUGUGCUCGCAUCUGCUGAUCUUCUGAAACUAUCUUUUCACAUGAGUCUUGCUUAAAAAGACAUUUCACCAAGAGGGAGGCAAUAAAGAUAAAACUUGAAGUAAAAGAAACAGCAAUUUUUUUUUUUUUUGUACCAGCGAUUGAACUCGGGUCCUUGCACUUGCACAGCAGGCGGCGAAACCACUGAGCUAAAUCCCUGGCGCAAAAGGACGAUUUUUUUAAAAAUGAGCAGAAACACAGCAAGGGCAGUGAGGGAAGAGAACAGAGACAGCGAGCAGAACUGCGGAGUGGUGACCCGGGAGUUGAAAGCCCAGAGGACUCCCUGCCUGCACUGACUCACUGUGGGACUCGGGGCUGAUGGUUUCUCUCUGGGUCUCAAUUUCUCUAUCUUCAAGAUGAAGGCACUGAACCAUAGAUCUACAGAAUUUUAUUGUAACUGACGGAAAGCUCAGCACACAUUGGCUUGAACAGCCAAGUCCUGGGUGGGACUGGCUUCAGGUUCAGCAGGCUCCAGCGGCUCAUGGUGCUGUCCGUCUGCUGCCUUUUUGCUUGCUUCUCUAUAUAUCUAGCUCUCUCUCUCUCUCUCUCUCUCUCUUUCUCUCUGGCUGUCCUUCAAGGGAGCAGGUAGACAUUGCUUUAAAGAUGGGGAGUCCCCAAACAGAAGAGGUUCAAAUGUCACUGGGAGGAAGGAGACGCUGAUAAGCUAGAGCAAUGAACAUUCCUGCUCUUAAAAAAAGAUUUCUGGUUUUUGAUGUUUCUGCAGGGAGAGGAGUUUAUCAGAUCUGUCACCAGCCCAUGGGCAGUUUUCAGCUACUCACUUUGCAGCCCUUGAGGGGCUUGCAGGGAGUUGCUUGACCAGGUCCUUUGGCUGCAUAAGGGCCGUGCCUUCUUCAAACCCCAUAGCACCCUUUGAAAGGCCAGGGGCACCCUGGGUUUGCAGAAGGGACUGGUAGCUGUGUUGUCACAUGCACGCCCAGGUUGCCAGCCUCUCCAGAAACUCAGAACUCUCUGGUAGCUUUGGAAUCAAAUUCCUGGACCGCCUCCCCGUGGGAAUGAGGUCUGUUCACUGUGGUGCCCACUCCUCGUGAAUCCAGGAGAGGAUGCCCCUUGAAUCCAGUGUCCCUUGCCACUUGUCAUCAAGUCUGUGCUCACGUGGGGUUGGGAGGAAGGUAAAUGUUCCUUGGGCUUUCUACUGUGGGCCCUGCAUCUCUUCGCUGGUGACCUGGCUUCUGCCUUAGGCGGUAAGCGUGUGUGACUUCUGCCAUAAAGGAGGCAGGGAAGAGGGGUGAAGAGGCACUCUGUAUACUCCCUGAACACUGAUAGGGCACCUGCUAUGUGCAAGUGCCCCCAGCACCGGGAGAGACACAAGCCUUCUGUCGGGUGAGCUCCAGUGAAGGACUCAGGUCCUCGAGAGGGUCAGCACAAAGGUGAAACACACCACAGCGGUGACCAGAGACCCAUCGACUAAAAACCAGGCCUCAAGAUAAAGACAAGAGGACCAGACCUACAUACUUCCUCAAAGAACAAACACUGGGCCUAAUGAAGUCUAGAUAGACAUCAGCCACCCUGGUGGGUGACCAGAGAUCUGUGAACCCCCCACUUCCUAGGAGAAUCUUUGUUCUUUCCAUCUACGCUUCUUAGGUGGCUUGUUUCCCAAUUGAACCACCAUUACCUAAGUGCCUACACUUGUAACCUGAUUGGAUGUUCAUGGAUGUGUCCCACGUUGUACGUACGUGGGUUUCACCCUAUAAAACUCCUCUGUAAAGCAGGGUCCCGGGCUACCCACUUGGGGGUAGCCUGCCCCUCGGGAGCUCUCCUAUCCAUAAAUACCUUCUACUCUUAACCCCUGUUGUUCCUAGAACUCAUCGAUUUCUAGAGAACAACAAGAGCUCAGUGUAUCAUACAGCUAACAGGUUGGGAGAUGUAAUAUUUCAUAUUUCAUCUCUGGUAUUAUUUUUUGUAACAGUUGGGGGAAUCAGUUAAUUAAAAUUAUAGCUGACAGAUUAUUCAAUUGUCAGUGUGAAGCCUCCAACAAUUCGUUAAUUGUGACCUCAGGAAUUUAGAGCUCUGCUCCUCGACACGAACUCCAGCAUGAGCAGCACCAGCAGCAGCAGCCUUGGGGAACAGGUUACCAGCCUGGAGUCUUGGGCUCUAUGCAUCUUAAAGCAAGGGAGAAAGGGCUGCUCCCAGGUCCCUGAGCUCGGCUGAGACCUGCGCCGUGCAGACACGUGCAGCAUCCCAUCCCGGCUUGGUCGGGGAUUACCUGGGGGUCUCUGGGCAAGUGAGUCGUGGUCUUCUCAGUGAGGGGAGAGCAGAAGAGGCUGCUCCGUGGGAAGGGGACAUGCAGGAGGUAGUAUAGUCCAGUAGAUGCCACACGCAGGAGCAAAUGCUAGCUUCCAGGGAGCCAGGACCUCUGAGUCAGCUCUUGAAGGAGGAGUGGAAAGGGGCUCCCUCUAAAGCUGAACCAAAGACAGUUAAUGCUCAAAACCAAAACAGGCUUUUUCUGAGAGAAGAAAUAACAGCUGCGAUGGGAAUAAACAAAACCGCAGCUUCCUCUCACUGUUUGCAAGGCUCUGGAAUUCCGCUGUGAUGUCAGCCUUCUCUGAACGGUGUGCGUGUGUCUGUCUUUCUGUGUUUUCCAUUUGGAGCUGCGGCUAUGACCACAUAUGUUUAAGACCAAUAGAGGAUGUUGAGUCUCCAAAAACACCCCAGGAGGAGAGAGUGCAAGGAACCCAGAGCGCCUGCACGGUGAAGGGUUUGCACAGGAACGAGAAUUACAGGAUUUUCAAGCGCCAGUGUGAGUGAGCAUAUUCCUGCCCCUCUAUUCCCUGUCGGGGCUUGAGGACCUCAUCAUCUGGCCUUGGCCAGGUGGGGUGCACAGAGGUGCCGGCUCGGACAUGCCCCCCCUGCUGUGCCAGGCACCCCGUGGGGAAACUGGGCUUCCAUUUGGGCAGAUGAAGUGAGAGUUCUGGGGGAUGAAGAUGAGGUCCCCACCUUCUCUUUGUCGCCUUGGAGACACACACUGUGGGAUGUGCAGGAGAUGUGUGCCAUGGAAACUCCUGAUGGUAACUGAGAUGGAUCUGUGCCCCAGGCUUCACGCAGGGAAGUUGAAUUAUGGGAGUUGAAUUAACGUUGGACUCCUCAGAACAACCAUGGGAGUGAGGAGCAAAGAUGGCUUCUCUGGGGGUCCUGGGCUGAGGGGCCUAGGAAGCUCCUUUGGUGCCUGCCCAGUGAGUGGCCCCAGUCCACCCUUAGGACCAUUCUACUGUACGUAUGGAGCACCUGCUGUGUGCCAGGCCCAGGUGGGCUCAGUGGAACAUGACAAAAGAGUUCUUCCACCCACGCUACCACCAUCGUGAGUUCCGGUUCGAUUUAUCCAAGAUCCCGGAAGGGGGAAGCUGUGACUGCAGCUGAGUUCCGGAUCUAUAAGGACUAAGCAUCCGGGCAACGCUUUGAUAAUGAGACCUUCCGGAUCAGCGUCUACCAGGUGCUCCAGGAGCACUUGGGCAGGGAGUCAGACCUCUUUCUACUCGACAGCCGCACCCUCUGGGCCUCCGAGGAGGGCUGGCUGGUGUUCGACAUCACGGCCACGAGCAACCACUGGGUGGUCAACCCUCGGCACAACCUGGGCCUGCAACUUUCAGUGGAGACUCUGGAUGGGCAGAGCGUGAACCCUUAAGCUGGCGGGCCUGAUCGGGCGGCAUGGACCCCAGAACAAGCAGCCCUUCAUGGUGGCCUUCUUCAAGGCCACGGAGGUGCACUCCUCCGCAGCGUGCGGUCCACGGGGGGCAAGCAGCGCAGCCAGAAUCGCUCCAAGACGCCCAAGAACCAGGAGGCGCUGAGGAUGUCCAGCGUGCCAGAGAACAGCAGCAGCGACCAGAGGCAGGCCUGUAAGAAGCCUGAGCUGUCACGUCAGCUUCCGAGACCUGGGCUGGCAGGACUGGAUCAUUGCGCCUGAGGGGCUAUGCCGCCUACUACUGCGAAGGGGGAGUGCGCCUUCCCCUCUGAACUCCCUACAUGAACGCCACCAACCACGCCAUCGUGCAGACACUGGUGGGUGCAGUUGGCGGGGUGCAGGCUGCAUGGCCACAGAGCCUGCCUCCUUCUGGCCUGGUGCUGCCUCCAAGCUGGGGCCUGAGUGGGCAUCUGCCCGAGCCCACAUCACGACUUGUGAGCCCGGUGCUCCAUAAGAGGGGCAUUAAAAAUUACACUUUGUGACAGCUGUAAAGAUGAGUAUAGCCUUUGACCCUAAAGUUUGUUUUUCCUUUUUUUUUGGUACCUUGUUUUUUGGCAGUCCUGGGAUUGAACCUAAGCCUUCACACUGAACUAUACCAACUUUUUUAUGACUUUUUUGUUGUUGUUUUUUUGUUUAAUUUUGAGACAGGUUCUUACUGUGUUGCCCAGGCUGGGCUGGAACUUGCCACCGCCCUGCCUCAGCCUCCCAGAGUGCUGGGAUCACAGCCAUGAGUCACUGUGUCUGACUUCUAAUUUUUACAAUGAAGCACGUUCCUGGGCUCCUGGAGUAGCAUGGGCUCUGGUCACUGGUGCUAACUGAGCAGUGACCUCUGCACUGCCUGUGACUUGUGUCCGCAGGUGUUAGGCUCUGUGUUCUGUUGAGACCCGGACCUGUCUGCACCCCCCACCUCACCCUGGCCUACUCCUCUCUCUGCCUUCUGGGACGGGUAAACGUUCUUGUUCGUCACGGCCCGUGGCCCUCCUCAGGCUUCCGUGUAUUUGGUUGGCAGAGCCAGUGUGCUAGAAAAAGCAGGAGUUUCCUGUCAGAAGCCGGCCACGCGCUGACCCUCUGGCCUGUCCUGAGCCCUCAGCUCCUGUGAGGACAUUGGCCAUGGUCUGCCGGCCCGUGGUCACCUUAGGUAGGAGUGGCAGCCUCUCCCGUGGUUUGCCUCAAUCCGCCUUCAUCCCUUGUGUUUACUCCUGGCCUACUUUGCUUUCAAAGGCACUCUGGUGGCAUCCAAGUCCCUGUCUCAGAAUUUUAAACAGCUAGAAAGGGUUGGGGAUGUAGCUCAGUGUAAAGGUGCAGGUUCAGUCCCCAGUGCUGCAAAACAAAUAAACAAAGCCCCUUUACUGUCUUCAUCUGCAAAAUGGGAGUGGUCCCAAACUGCGCUGGUACAUGCGCCCAGGACCCAGAGGGCUCCAGAACGUAUCACUUGGGAUGAUUUUGCCCAGGCAGGGGAUGUCCCUUAGAGAAACACAGAGGCCAGGCCAGAGGGCCUGCUCCCCAUCUCACCAGUCUCCGUUCAUGCGUCGCAGGUCCACUUCAUCAACCCGGACACCGUGCCCAAGCCCUGCUGUGCUCCUACCCAGCUCAAUGCCAUCUCUGUCCUCUACUUCGGACUGACAGCUCCAAUGUCAUCCUAAAGAAAUACAGAAACAUGGUGGUCCGGGCCUGUGGCUGCCACUAGCCCCUGAUGGAAGUCCUGCCCUUGGGGUCACGUUUAUUUGAGUCUGCACUGUGGCACUGCCCAGCAUCUCCGCCGCCCACCUUGGCAAGGAACCAGCAGACUGAUCAUCUUCUCCGGGGGCCUCCCUGUCCCUCCCCAGUUUUACAGGUCUAAGAGUGCUAGGAAUUGGAGCACCAAGUGGCUUUUGAUCCAUUUUUCAUCGGUGGCACCCUAAGGACAAGAUCCUGAGCUACUACAGGCAAAAUCUGGCAGGAAACACAUCUGUGAGGAAAGAUCACUCAGCCGCGGUCAUCAGCUGUACUGUCCCCGCCACACCCUGACUUGUUCCAGAGAUGAUUAGGACGCCCUUCAGCCAGGUGACCAGCCACCAGCUGCAGGAGGAGGGACAUGGCCAGGGUGGGCACCUGUGUCUGUGCUGAAGGGAAACAUGCAGAAUUCUUUGUAAUAAAUGUCACAAUAAAACCAAUGAAUGAAAAUGGUUAGGAUGUUACAGGUAUAUUUUCCUAAACGAUUUAUCCCUGCUUCUGGGUUUAUUCUGACUUUAUGAACAGCAGCGGUGGCCGGUGGAGGGCAAGGAGCCCCUUCUGUUCUGUUCCGGUGUCAGCUUGAGGCUGCAGGGCCUGUGUUCACCCAGAUCCCACUGCAGGGGCCGGCGGUGUGAAUGUAUGCUGGAGGGGCUCCCUGUCACCCUUCUGCAGGUGUGUGCUGGCAGAAGUGAGGCGUGACAGGACGGGAUGGGUCCUCCGGCCUCCCCUGCUGUAGGGAGCAGUUUGAAGUAGUGGAAUAGACAAGGACAGACAAUAGUAUGGCGCUUGCGACUUCAGCGUGGUGUUAACACAGAAGAAACGUAACUGUCACCGGCUUCUCCGAGCAGGGCCCUUGGCGUCUCCUCUCGGACGAUGCCCCGACUAGGGUCCUGCCAGGGGCAUUGAGGCUGCCUCCUUUUGCUUCUUGACCCCUAGCAGAGAGCUCUGCAGACAGAUUUGCUGCUUGAAGUAAGAGACAGGCCAGUGGGAAGGCUGAUGGGCACAGGGCAUGCUGGACUCGAGUCGCAAACAGAAGGAUCUAGAUCAGUGGUGGCGAACCUUUUAGGGACGGACUCCCCAACUGCAACCCAAGACCUGCUUAUUUAUCGAAAAGUGCCAACACUGCCGUUAUACCCGGACACUGAAGUUUUAGUUCAGAAAAACCAACUCAGACGCUUGGCUAUGGCGUGCUGACAGAGGGCUGUGUGUGCGCCGCUGCCACCCGCCUGCCAUAGGUUCGCCACCACUGAUCCAGAGAGCGACCUCCUAAACGAAUGCCCUGAUUUGGGGUGGCGGUAUCUGUGCUGCAGCUCUGGUGCCAGCCCCCUUGGCUCUGCUGCUCACCCCGUAAAGGGGUGUGUGUACCAGCCCCCAGCUGUAAGCGCAAGGCCUAGGGAGGGGCUGGGCUGCCCUGGGACACUUCCCACAUCUGCUCAAAGAACACAGCUCAUUUCCCAGGCACGACCCGGGCCGGGGGAACCUGGCCCUGGGGAAGCUGUUCUCCAGCUCCAUCAAGUCAGUUCCUAGAACCACACUGGCUUAGCUUUUGUUCUCUGUUCUUUUUCUUCUUUAGUAGCUUGGGCUGCAGCUCUCACUACCUGGCUGCUGAGGGAUGAGAAUUUUUGUUAGAAUUGUUCUGUUGUUGGCAGAUCUGGGGCUCUCUGUGGGACUCCUGCUUGGUGUGAGUUUUUCCACUACUUUAGUGCCCCCCGCCGGCCUCUUUUGCGCAUUGUUUGUGCAUUAAAACAUGUAAAUAGUUGUGAUGACAGAGAUUAUUUAUUUCCAUCUGAAGCUCUUUUGCAAACCCUCCUUUCAUCCCUUGUUCAGAACAACGAGCUUGCUUUCCUCCAACCUGUUUGUUUUCUUAUUUAAGAUUAUUUAUUGAUGAUUGGACCGAUGUACCCAUGGCUGUCGCAUAGAGCAGCCCUUAGUGACAAUUCUGUAUAAAUAAACACAAUAAAAAAGGGUUUUGACUUUGCAAUAAAAGGAGUCAUUUGGUUCUGGU
rnacentral:lncRNA from 1 species